UACGUAGGUGGCAAGCGUUGUCCGGAUUUACUGGGUGUAAAGGGUGCGCAGGCGGGACUGCAAGUUGGAUGUGAAAUACCGAGGCUUAACCUCGGAGCUGCAUCCAAAACUGUGGUUCUUGAGUGGAGUAGAGGUAAGCGGAAUUCCGAGUGUAGCGGUGAAAUGCGUAGAUAUUCGGAGGAACACCAGUGGCGAAGGCGGCUUACUGGGCUCUAACUGACGCUGAGGCACGAAAGCAUGGGUAGCAAACAGG
rnacentral:rRNA from 1 species